UGUAAUCAAUUAUUACUUAAUAUACACAUGCAAGUCUCCGCACCCCUGUGAAAACGCCCUUAAAUCCCCGCUAGGGAUAAGGAGCUGGUAUCAGGCACAAUUUUUAGCCCAAGACACCUAGCUACGCCACACCCACACGGGAACUCAGCAGUGAUUAACAUUGAACAUAAGCGACAGCUUGACUCAGUUAAAGUAAGAAGAGCCGGCAAAUCUGGUGCCAGCCGCCGCGGUUACACCACGUGGCUCAAAUUGAUUUCUUUCGGCGUAAAGCGUGAUUAAAGUUACAAAAAACUAUAGCCAAACUAAAACUAAGCUGUAACACGCUUGUAUUUAGGAAAACCAAAAACGAAAGUUGCUAUAAUUAGAACAACUU
rnacentral:rRNA from 1 species